AUUGAACGCUGGCGGCAGGCCUAACACAUGCAAGUCGAGCGGAUGAAGGGAGCUUGCUCCUGGAUUCAGCGGCGGACGGGUGAGUAAUGCCUAGGAAUCUGCCUGGUAGUGGGGGAUAACGUCCGGAAACGGGCGCUAAUACCGCAUACGUCCUGAGGGAGAAAGUGGGGGAUCUUCGGACCCCACGCUAUCAGAUGAGCCUAGGUCGGAUUAGCUAGUUGGUGGGGUAAAGGCCUACCAAGGCGACGAUCCGUAACUGGUCUGAGAGGAUGAUCAGUCACACUGGAACUGAGACACGGUCCCGACUCCUACGGGAGGCAGCAGUGGGGAAUAUUGGACAAUGGGCGAAAGCCUGAUCCAGCCAUGCCGCGUGUGUGAAGAAGGUCUUCGGAUUGUAAAGCACUUUAAGUUGGGAGGAAGGGCAGUAAGUUAAUACCUUGCUGUUUUGACGUUACCAACAGAAUAAGCACCGGCUAACUUCGUG
rnacentral:rRNA from 1 species